UACGAAGGGGGCUAGCGUUGCUCGGAAUCACUGGGCGUAAAGCGCACGUAGGCGGGUUGUUAAGUCGGGGGUGAAAUCCUGGAGCUCAACUCCAGAACUGCCUUUGAUACUGGGGAUCUCGAGUCCGGAAGAGGUGAGUGGAACUCCGAGUGUAGAGGUGAAAUUCGUAGAUAUCUGGAGGAACACCGGUGGCGAAGGCGGCAUCCUGGACCAAUAUUGACGCUGAGGAGCGAAAGCCAGGGGAGCAAACGGG
rnacentral:rRNA from 1 species